GUUUUUGUAGUUGAAUUACAACAUUGAUUUUUCAGGUCAAAGGUUUUGGUUGAGCCCAGGUAAAAAUU
rnacentral:tRNA from 1 species